GUUUCCUGGUCUCCUGCCCAAUUUCCCUGCAAAAAUUCUGCGGAAAGCUCUUUCGCUCCUUCUCAUAAAAAUGCGUUGCACGUACUAAGCGAGGAGUGAGAAUUAAGAGAAAGAAAAGAUAGCAAAUCCAUUUUGUAUAUCCAAUUAGGGGUCUUUUUUGGCAGCUUCCCAUAGUUAUCACAUUGCUCAGUGCCUUACUGGGUAUAGCCUUUUCAAUGGCUGCCUUUGUUACCAAUCAUUAUCUCUUGGCUUCCAGUCCUUGUUCUGCAUCCUUGUUUUCAAAGCCCUUGAAAGUCCUAGAGCCCGACAUCAGACUUCCAUGUCUUUCCUAUCCAUCCACUCGUCACCCCAUUUGUGCGUGUAAGCCUAUGUUAGGGUUUUCAAGCAAGUAUUUCCCAGAGGGCCAUUUUAGUCGAGAAAAUAUCUUCAAGUCUUACAUUGCCGCCGAAGAUUCUAGCCCAAAUACAGAUGAUGAAAAUGAGGACAUUCAGAAUGACGCGAAAUUGACCGGUAACGAAGAAGAUAAAGUAUUACUACCAUCCAGCUUAAUGGCUCUCAUCGAAGCAUACAAAGAAGCAAGCCUUGAUGGAGAUGAAAAAACUGCAUCUCAUAUUGAAAUGAGGAUAACAUUAAUGGCAAAUCAAAAGAAUGAACUGAUUAAAAGAGUGUCGACUUUAUCAGCUGAGAAAGCUGCUUCAAAAAAGAAAUAUCUUCGUUUGCAAGCAGACUUUGAUAAUUUUAGGAAAAGAUUUGAGAAAGAAAAGCAUAACAUACAGUCCAAUGCCCAAGUAGAAGUCAUUGAAAAACUUUUGCUGAUGGUGGACAAUUUUGAUAGAACCAAACAACAAAUUAAACCAGCAACAGAUAAAGAGAAAAAGAUUGAUGCUAGUUAUCAAGGUAUAUACAAGCAAUUUGUUGAGAUUUUGAGGACUCAUCACGUGGCUGUGGUAGCAACAGUGGGCAAGCGUUUUGAUCCUUUGAGAUUGGACAGAUUUCUAGGCAAUUUCAUGCAAUCUUGCUGUGAUUUGCUUCAGACAACUUCUGCAAUCUUGGAAAAAAAGAAAUGAAGGGAACUUUACAUCCAAAUACAAGACCCCCCCUUUUUCUUAAAUUAUGAUUUUAUUGAAUUGUGUGCUUCUGUAGUUUAGCUUCAAGCCUGCUUGUAUGAUACAUUUCCAAUUGACUUACCAGACUGGAUUGGAGCUCUAUUUGAACGUAUUGUCAGGUACAUGAAGCCAUAGGACGUGAGGAGUCCCAGGAGUACAAAGAGGGAAUCAUCAUUCAAGAAUCCAGACGUGGAUUUUUGCUUAGAGAUCGGCUUUUAAGGCCAGCACUGGUCAAGGUUUCUUCAGGGCCUGGCAACAAGAAAGCUACAGUGACCCCUGACAACUCCAAGGAGCAACCAGCAGCUACAGCUGGAAUAGAGAUUGAUAAUAUUCUUCAAUAUGAUCGCUCCUUUUGCAGUAAUUUACUUAAAUCUGCCUACCUCAUUAUAUAAAUGUUAAUCGUCUCUACUGGAGAUGCUUCAGUAAUUUUAUAUUCUUAUAUGUUGCACCUUUGAUGUAAUGUAAUUUACAAGUCGUCAUUUGCAAGUGCUCUGCAGGAUUUAUUUCAUUCCUCAGAAGAUACUUGAAAUCAACAUUCUGGAAAUAUUAUUGUGCUAGCUGAUGGUGCAUAUACCACAAGUUCAUGUCAUUGUUGUGCAAUACGUUUUGAUCGCAGUCA